rnacentral:rRNA from 1 species
AUAAACCAGUUACAGCAAUUGAUGGAUGCCUUGGCUUCAUCAGGCGACGAAGGACGCAGCAAGCUGCGAUAAGCUUCGGGGAGCGGCACGCACGCUUUGAUCCGAAGAUUUCCGAAUGGGGAAACCCGGCACCGGUCAUACGGUGUCAUUCUGGUCUGAAUACAUAGGACCGGUAAAGCGACACGCGGAGAAGUGAAACAUCUCAGUAUCCGCAGGAAAAUAAUGAGAAUCGAUUCCGUAAGUAGUGGCGAGCGAAAGCGGAACAGCCCAAACCGCCGAGAUUUAUCUUGGCGGGGUUGUAGGACCACGAUGUGGGACCAUGAAAGUUAGGCAAACACUCUGGAAAGUGUGACCAUAGCGGGUGACAGUCCCGUAGCUUAAAACUCAAAUGGCCCUAGUGGUAUCCUGAGUAGCACCGUACACGUGAAAUCCGGUGUGAAUCCAUGCCGACCACGGCAUAAGGCUAAAUACUCGAUGAAGACCGACAGUGAACUAGUACCGCGAGGGAAAGGUGAAAAGCACCCCUGUUAGGGGAGUGAAAUAGUAACUGAAAUCAAUUGCUAACAAGUCAGUGGGAGCUCCCUUGUGGAGUGACCGCCUGCCUUUUGUAUAAUGAGUCUGCGAGUUAUUGCCCGUAGCAAGCUUAAGCCGGUUCCCGGCGGAAGCGCAGCGAAAGCGAGUCCUAAUAGGGCGUCUAGUUGCUGGCAAUAGACCCGAAGCGGAGGUGAUCUAACCAUGGCCAGGAUGAAGCCCCGGUAAAACGGGGUGAAGGUCCGAACCGGUCAAUCUUGAGAAAUUGUCGGAUGAGCUGUGGUUAGGAGCGAAAGACUAAUCAAACCCUGUGAUAGCUGGUUCUUUCCGAAAUAUAUUUGGGUAUAGCGUCGGGCGCUGAUUUGCGGAGGUAGAGCACUAAAUAAGCUAGGGCCCCUACCGGGGUACUGAACUUAAUUAAACUCCGAAUACCGCAGAGUGUAGCCCGGCAGUCAGACGGUGGGUGAUAACGUCCAUCGUCGAGAGGAGAAUAAUCCAUACCAUCAGUUAAGGUCCCAAAAUAUGGCUCAGUGAAAAAGGAUGUGAUUUUGCUUAGACAAUGGGGAUGUUGGCUUAGAGGCAGCCAUCAUUUAAACAGUGCGUAACAGCUGACCCAUCGAGCGAAAUUGCGCCGAAAAUGAUCGGGACUUAAGCCAUAUACCGAAGCUAUGGGUGCACCGCAAGGUGCGCAGUAGGAAAGCGUCCCAAGUGCAGCGAAGGAGGAGGGGUAACCGACUCUGGAGCGCUUGGGAGUGAGAAUGCAGACAUAAGUAACGAUAAAGAUGGUUUAAUUCCAUCUCGCCGAAAUCCCAAGGAUUCCUGGGGAAGGUUCGUCCGCCCAGGGUUAGUCGGGUGCUAAGACGAGGCCGUAAGGAGUAGUCGAUGCCAAGCUGGUUCAAUAUUCCAGCACCACUAUGCUUGUGUCCGACCUAUGGAGUGACGGAGAAAGCUAAAACAGCGACGUGUUGAAUCGUCGUCCAAGUUCGUAGGCUGUCUGGGGUUAAAACACCGGAUAAAGUCGAAAAACGACGGGACCUUGAAGCUACGGCCAAAAGGGAUUGUUUGAUGCUAUGCUUCCAAGAAAAGCUUCCUAGUUAGCAAGCAAAGUGCCCGUACCGUAAACCGACACAGGUGGGAUAGAUGAGUAUUCUAAGGCGCGCAGGUUAAAUCUCUCUAAGGAACUCGGCAAAUUAGCCCCGUAUCUUCGGUAGAAGGGGUGCCCCGCAAGGGGCCGCAGUUAAUUGCGUCAACCGACUGUUUAGCAAAAACACAGCACUCUGCUAAGUCGCAAGACGACGUAUAGGGUGUGACACGUGACCAAUGCGGAAAGGUGAAAGCGUGAGGUGCAAGCUUCGCGUCUAAGCCCCCGUGAAUGUCGGCCGUAACUAUAACGGUCCUAAGGUAGCGAAAUUCCUUGUC